GACGUAGGGGGCCAGCGUUGUUCGGAAUUACUGGGUGUAAAGGGUUCGUAGGCGGUGCGGCAAGUCGGGAGUGAAAUCUCUGGGCUCAACCCAGAGGCUGCUUCCGAAACUGCUGUGCUUGAGUGUGGGAGAGGCGCGUGGAAUUGCAGGUGUAGCGGUGAAAUGCGUAGAUAUCUGCAGGAACACCCGUGGCGAAGGCGGGUCUCUGGGCAGUAACUGACGCUGAGGAGCGAAAGCGUGGGGAGCGAACAGG
rnacentral:rRNA from 1 species